rfam:Thermoactinomyces sp. Gus2-1 c45, whole genome shotgun sequence.
UGAACGCGAUGAAGCGAAAGGUUGCCGACACACCCGGCCCCUUUGCCAUGGCCGGGCGGGAAAUUUUCGUGGAGAAGUUCAUUUUCAAAAUGGGCGAGAA